rnacentral:rRNA from 1 species
CCUACGGGAGGCAGCAGUGGGGAAUAUUGGGCAAUGGGCGCAAGCCUGACCCAGCAACGCCGCGUGAAGGAAGAAGGCUUUCGGGUUGUAAACUUCUUUUCUCAGGGACGAAGCAAGUGACGGUACCUGAGGAAUAAGCCACGGCUAACUACGUGCCAGCAGCCGCGGUAAUACGUAGGUGGCAAGCGUUAUCCGGCUUUACUGGGUGUACAGGGCGUGUAGGCGGGAAAGCAAGUCAGAUGUGAAAACCAUGGGCUGAACCUGUGGCCUGCAUUUGAAACUGUUUUUCUUGAGUACUGGAGAGGCAGACGGAAUGCCUAGUGUAGCGGUGAAAUGCGUAGAUAUUAGGAAGAACACCAGUGGCGAAGGCGGUCUGCUGGACAGCAACUGACGCUGAGGCGCGAAAGCGGGGGGAGCAAACAGGAUUAGAUACCCUUGUAGUC